UUAGGUUUAGGGGAUCAAAUCACUAAUCCUAGUAUGAGUAAUCGUAGUAGUGAUGCUUGCUUUAGUAAACACCAUAAAUCAUGCAUGCAAGCUCAAUGACAGGGCUUUGACGAAAAGUGGCACAUGGUUAUUUCUGUUCAGUUCUUCACCUCCUUGCUUCAAAGGGGCGAGGUCAGGGUGUUGGGCUGGCUAGGAAGGACUCAUUCCGCACAUCAUUUGGCAGGAAUCUGCUGCCCUACACAGUUUCACACACUGGCACACGGCCCACAAAGCCACAAAUCUGCCUGCAGCAUUAUCGGGUAUUUUAAAAACCCUUACAGGUCUCAAGAGGAGCAAGAGAAGGCUGACGGUUAUUGACUCAACAUGCUUUCUUGAAAUUUCAUUGCUCUACUUUGGCUCAAAUCUAUCAAUACAAGGAUAAGGAUUUGGGCUGCUUUCCAAACCAGGGUCUUCCAGAUCUCACUGACAGAUAUCAGACAAGAU